rfam:Schistosoma mansoni strain Puerto Rico chromosome 1, complete genome
GCACUGCUGAGGAGUCCCAAAAUAGGACGAAACGGCCGUCCAGUGC